AGAGUUUGAUCAUGGCUCAGAUUGAACGCUGGCGGCAGGCCUAACACAUGCAAGUCGAACGGUAACAGGAAGCAGCUUGCUGCUUCGCUGACGAGUGGCGGACGGGUGAGUAAUGUCUGGGAAGCUGCCUGAUGGAGGGGGAUAACUACUGGAAACGGUAGCUAAUACCGCAUAAUGUCGCAAGACCAAAGAGGGGGACCUUCGGGCCUCUUGCCAUCGGAUGUGCCCAGAUGGGAUUAGCUUGUUGGUGGGGUAACGGCUCACCAAGGCGACGAUCCCUAGCUGGUCUGAGAGGAUGACCAGCCACACUGGAACUGAGACACGGUCCAGACUCCUACGGGAGGCAGCAGUGGGGAAUAUUGCACAAUGGGCGCAAGCCUGAUGCAGCCAUGCCGCGUGUAUGAAGAAGGCCUUCGGGUUGUAAAGUACUUUCAGCGGGGAGGAAGGGAGUAAAGUUAAUACCUUUGCUCAUUGACGUUACCCGCAGAAGAAGCACCGGCUAACUCCGUGCCAGCAGCCGCGGUAAUACGGAGGGUGCAAGCGUUAAUCGGAAUUACUGGGCGUAAAGCGCACGCAGGCGGUUUGUUAAGUCAGAUGUGAAAUCCCCGGGCUCAACCUGGGAACUGCAUCUGAUACUGGCAAGCUUGAGUCUCGUAGAGGGGGGUAGAAUUCCAGGUGUAGCGGUGAAAUGCGUAGAGAUCUGGAGGAAUACCGGUGGCGAAGGCGGCCCCCUGGACGAAGACUGACGCUCAGGUGCGAAAGCGUGGGGAGCAAACAGGAUUAGAUACCCUGGUAGUCCACGCCGUAAACGAUGUCGACUUGGAGGUUGUGCCCUUGAGGCGUGGCUUCCGGAGCUAACGCGUUAAGUCGACCGCCUGGGGAGUACGGCCGCAAGGUUAAAACUCAAAUGAAUUGACGGGGGCCCGCACAAGCGGUGGAGCAUGUGGUUUAAUUCGAUGCAACGCGAAGAACCUUACCUGGUCUUGACAUCCACGGAAGUUUUCAGAGAUGAGAAUGUGCCUUCGGGAACCGUGAGACAGGUGCUGCAUGGCUGUCGUCAACUCGUGUUGUGAAAUGUUGGGUUAAGUCCCGCAACGAGCGCAACCCUUAUCCUUUGUUGCCAGCGGUCCGGCCGGGAACUCAAAGGAGACUGCCAGUGAUAAACUGGAGGAAGGUGGGGAUGACGUCAAGUCAUCAUGGCCCUUACGACCAGGGCUACACACGUGCUACAAUGGCGCAUACAAAGAGAAGCGACCUCGCGAGAGCAAGCGGACCUCAUAAAGUGCGUCGUAGUCCGGAUUGGAGUCUGCAACUCGACUCCAUGAAGUCGGAAUCGCUAGUAAUCGUGGAUCAGAAUGCCACGGUGAAUACGUUCCCGGGCCUUGUACACACCGCCCGUCACACCAUGGGAGUGGGUUGCAAAAGAAGUAGGUAGCUUAACCUUCGGGAGGGCGCUUACCACUUUGUGAUUCACGACUGGGGUGAAGUCGGAACAAGGUAACCGUAGGGGAACCUGCGGUUG
rnacentral:rRNA from 1 species